rnacentral:rRNA from 1 species
ACAACAUACAAAUAUAUCUGAUUACCCUGAACGG